GCGGGCCGAUGCCCGCACCUUAAUGCAGCCGCCCAGCAGGGCGCGGGUCCCAAGCCCCGGUAAAUGCAGAGGGAGGA
rnacentral:ribozyme from 1 species